rnacentral:lncRNA from 1 species
AUGCCUUUGCAGAGAAACACACAGAGUAGAGGUGGUGGGACUGUUAGCAGCAUGCUGCAUAUUUACCCCGGACUUGUGAGUGUCAGCCUGGGAGGUUUCCAGCACGGCUCCCCGCUCUCUCAGCUGGCCCUGUCUCUCCACCAGGUCACGAAUCUGCUUCUCCAAGGCCUCCAGAAUGCAGCCCGAAUGUGUUCUCACCUGCACUCAAAGAAAUCCAUUCUUGAGGAGACAGUAAGGCAUGAGGACGACUGCUGGAACUCAAAAACUCCUUCACAAAACCACAUGACACCCAGACACACCCAACUCUCCAAGAGCUACAGUGAGGCACCCGGACCUCCCCUUCAACUCAAUCCCAGCCCUCUUCAUACACACAACCACAGCUAUUUGUCAACUCAGAGCACCAGGCAAUGUUUGCCUAGGUGACAUUGUGAUAGUGUGGGUAGAAGUGUGGCAUUCUGGCAUGAGUCAUCACUGCCAACACCCACCCUACCCCAAAUCAGCAAAAAGAGAAUUGCUUCUGUGAAUGACUUCAUGACUGGGCAUCAUACAUAAUAAAUCAUCAUAAUAAUUGACUGAGGAUUACAUGCAACCAGACUUUAAAGAGGUCAAGUACGGAGCCUCGCACAUGGCAUGCAAGGAAAAAAAAAAUAGUAGACUAAAUCGUGUUCACGAUUUACUAUUUCGUUCCCUCGAUUUAUAAAUUGUGUGCACAAUUUACUAAUUUGUUCCCUCGAUUUGCUAAAUUGUGCACAUGAUUUAAAAAUCAAGAGAACUAAUUAGUAAAUUGUGCACACGUUUUAGUACAUAAAAGGAUCGAAUUAGUAAAUUGUGUGCACAAUUAAUUUUUUUCUUGCAUGUCAUGUGUGGGACUACGUAUAGUUAUGAACUGCAUUUUUAAAAAUUAUUUUAUAAUGUUCUCUGAGGUUCACUUAAUAAUGUUAUUGUGGUUUUACAUUAAAAAACAUCAUAAUUUAGAAGUAAUAGGCUAUUUUAUAUUCAGUUUUUUAGCCUCUCUGCAGAAUGGAGUUUUUAUAGGCGGAGCGCAAUUAAGACUCACAAGUAAACGCCCACUAUGAUUGGCUAACAGUUUCGCUUAUUAAAAUAAUAGAUGGACACUGUUGUGAUGUACUCUGAAAACAACAUGGGUCAUUUGGGUUAAAAACAUAAAUACUCUGUAUAUAUCAAACAGUCUGAAACAGACAAUGCAACAGUGGUAAAAGCAUGUUUACUCACACUUAAGCCCUGUUCACACUACAACGACAAAGUGACACAAUCCCAUUCAUUUCAAUGGAGAGCUGGCGAUUUCCAGGGACCAUUGGCGACCGGAUGGGGUGUGUCCAGUGACGCGACAAAGUUAAGAAUCCAUCAACUUUAUGCAAAUGAAGAGCGACUUUCGGGAGUAACAGCCAAUAGGUAGAGCUCAUGUGAUCAUUCUCUUCUCAGCUCUGGCAGUGACACUCUCUGCGUUUUUGCCAUUGUCAUGGUUUGGCAAGGGAGGACCCAGAUGCAGAAUGAACAAGGGGAACAGAGUUUAUUAACAAAAAUGGGAACACAAAAGGAUGAGGCUACAAGACACACAAUAGGACACACGAUAGGAGAACAGGCUGGUCAGGGAUGGGGUUAGCUCCAGACUCUGUGGCAAAAAGGGACUUGGUAGCAUCUCAAGGAACCACAGGUUUCGCCCUGGGGAUGGUAACACUUGAAGCACCAAAAUGUAUGUCAGGUCCAAAGAAUCAACGAAGACUCAGGAAGCAGGGCAGGAACCAACAUGACAGACACACACAAAAGACAAGACAACAGGGGAGACAAGAGAUAGACACAGAUCAAAGUAAAAACUUGACAAAUUAUGACUAGGGAGAUAAAAAUAAAA